rnacentral:rRNA from 1 species
GACGUAGGGUCCAAGCGUUGUUCGGAAUCACUGGGCGUAAAGCGCGCGUAGGCGGAUUGUUAAGUCGGGGGUGAAAUCCUGAGGCUCAACCUCAGAACUGCCUUCGAUACUGGCGAUCUUGAGUCCGGGAGAGGUGAGUGGAACUCCUAGUGUAGAGGUGAAAUUCGUAGAUAUUAGGAAGAACACCAGUGGCGAAGGCGGCUCACUGGCCCGGUACUGACGCUCAUGUGCGACAGCGUGGGGAGCAAACAGG